ensembl:lncRNA
AAGACGCUCUCCUCGUCGCCCACCUGGGGACCCCCCCCCCACACACACACACACCCUCGAGGGCCCCACACAGCUCCCGCCUUCAGCCUCCCCUCCCCUGGCUCGCCGCCCGCCCUCCCCUCGGUCCGCCGCCGCCGGCCCUGUCAGAGCGGGCGGGCGGCCCUCGCGCCGCUCCCGCCGCCGCGGCCCCGCGCGCUGCUGCCGCUGCCGCUACUGCUGCCGCUGCUGGCACUGCUGGCGCUGCUCCCGGCCGCGCGUGCGGGCGGCUCCGUGCGGGGGGAUUUGAAACAGCCGCUCCGGGGGCAGCGCAGCGGCGGCGCCCAAUCAGCGGCCGGGAUUUUUCGCGCUGGUUCUGGCCGGAGGAGGGGGCGGGGCCGCCGCGCAGGAGCCGCCGCCGCCGUUGCCGUGUCCGCGUCCCUUCGGCUCCCGCCGCCGCCGCCGCCGCCUCCUCCUCACAGCUCCCCGGCGCCCAGCUCCCGCCGCCUCGCGCCCGGCUCCCCGGGGGGAGAACGAUGCGCUAGGGCACAGGCUAUCAGAAGCUGCUGUGUAGUAGCACUCCUGAAUAAACUGGAAACAAAUGUUGUGAGCCAAUCUGGAACAUGACUGAAAUUCAGCAGCAGUACAGAAACAAGGUAUGUAAUUAAUGAAAUAAGAAGUAAUAGGCUUUAAAUGUAAUGCAGAAAGGGCAUGUACAGGAUCUAUUCAGCAGUGGAAUGCUUGGCUCCAAAGUGGUAGUGAUAGUUGAGCCCUCAGAACUUCUGCAAGUAAUCAUAGCAACUACAGUUGCUUAACAAGGCUUAUUUCGAAAGUCAAAACUCUAGAUUUUCUGAUAAGAAGCAGUUACCUCAGAAUUUCUCUAAAGAGCCGUGUUUGAUAAGGCAGUGAACUAAUCCGCAGAGCUAAUACUAUGCAAGGUGAAAGGACAGCAAAAGUGGCAAAAAAUGCCCAUUGUAGGGCCCUCAAAGCAGGGUUGGGAAAGUGGGCAAGAAGGUCAAGAAUUGGCUUGUUGGACGGGAAAGUGUUUUAUCUUUCUGUCCCCAGGUGAAAUGGGUAAACCACGAGACAGCUGCAGAAACAUAAAACUUCCCUGUAGUCUCUUUACCUGUAACAGUCAUACUAAUCUCUGCUCUGAAGACGUUCUUCAUGUAGACUGAGUGAAAAAAGUAGGAAGGGAAUUAAGAGCCAAGAGAAAUGUGGUAAUGCAUUUUGGGAAAAGCCUGUGAAAGCCCUGGCACAGGGAGAUACUUCGUACUUCAAACAGUGUCCUAACCAGAAAGGCCACUUAUUAGCAGGAAUUUGGAUUUGUUGGGUGAGUGUCUAAUGCUAGAGACUCUUGUGAGCUUGGGCCUUGUUUGAGUGCUCCUGCUAUACGUCUGCCAUUUGUGUAUGCUAGCUGUGCUUUGAAAUAAUGCACUGAUAGGAUAAUGAACAUAAUCGGACAUAUAUGGUUACAGUUGAUGUGUAAAAUGCACCAGAAUUAGUACAGUGUGGCCAGGAUUGCAUUAUGGACGUAAUUAUGUUGAUCAGAUAUUCAUAUAAGAAGGUUUUGGUGAUAGGUGCAAGUCUACCAGUAAAAGGCCAUAGUGCAUUUGAGUUAUUAUUA